rnacentral:lncRNA from 1 species
AGUAAUAGAUGGGUCCCUGUGCACAGUGUUUUUACUAUUACAAAGAGGAAAUUAUUACAGUUAUAUCUUAUCCAUCAGUCAUGUGUUGUCUUUUCCUUUCCAUUUCUUGAUGAAUGCUUCAGCUUUUUCAAUUUCUUCUUCUUCUAUCAGAAUUUUCGGAGGUUGUGAAUCAGUAAUAUCUUCAGUAUUUGUUUCGGUACUAUUCAUUGAUAUAUCUGAAUUUUG